UAGAAAGUAGUAUAAAGGUAGUACUGAGAGUUUUGGAGUCUCAAGUAGGGGUUCAAUUCCUCUUUUUCUAA
rnacentral:tRNA from 1 species